GGAUAAAGUAGGCUAAACUUAAGCAGGUUCCCCACGUUAAACUGCUAUAUGCAUUAUGCUACAUGUCAUUGUAAAAUUGUAAUAGGCUUCUUUUCUUAAAUGCAUAUGACUCGGGAUGUCAGUUUGACGUAAGCCAGUAUGGCUAUGAUUAAACUAAUCAAGAGCAUAUUUUUAAAUGAGCGGGUCGGGUGCAUUAUUUUUAUAUAAGGCCUAAUAUUUGAGGUCCGAGUUGCGGUCAUUUAUGUACACGCGCACGAAUACUAUAGAGAGAUCGGUUCCGUGAUUUAGAAAAGUACAAGACACGCCUCCUACUACAAGUUACGCCUACUACAAGUCACGCCUCCAUCUUGCAGGAAGCAGACGGAUACUAUUGGAGUGGUUGCGUAAAUAGCACACCUGUUUUUGAAGUGGAUGAUUAUGUUGCAAAGGCGUUGAUUGGCUACAGGGCCAUAAUAUAAAGAGAUAGCAGAGGAUCAGUGCAACAGUGUUUUAGGUCUGGUUUGGCCUCAACCAAUCUGUCUGGGAAAUACUUUGAAUAUAGUUUGCCAUGGCUGUUGGGUGCAUUCUCAGAGUGUCUUGGUUUUGUUUGUUGCUGUUUGGUGGCAGUCUUCCUUUUCCAUCAAUGAAGGGUUACAGCUAUACCUCCAAGAAUGACCAUCCUGAAAUUGGGGGUGAUAAAGAUGACGAGCUACAAACUUCUAAUACUCUAAGGUUUGAUGCAUAUAGCCUAGAAAAAGGCUAUUCAGACCGAAGCAAAAAAGUCCCACUAGCUGCAGCUCCAAAGCAGGCACUGUUGAACCCUGAGGAAGGGGCGAGGGUCCAGGGAGGCAGAGCUGUGGAGUUUGGACAGAAAAAUGCUGAGAUGGAAGGCCAGAAACUUGUCAAGCCAGUGACAUUCCCUCUAAACCCUCCCAACCAGCAUGAUUACUCUUUUGAGGAGCAGUGGGGCAGCACUAAGCCUCAGUUCCCACCCUCUGACACUAAAGGGGUUUACUCUAGCUCUUCAUUGCACCUUGACCUCCCAGCUGGUGUACAAGAAGGUUCACAAAGCUAUUCCACUAACCUUGUCUACGAGGACUUUUCUCAAUACCCAGCUGCUGAAACUGCACAGCUUCUUUCACCAGAUGAUGACCCCUACACCUAUGACUCUGUGAUUGCGGAACAGCCAAGCAGUUGGUCCUCUGAUCGUUACAUUACCACAGAAGAGCCGGUAUUCUCCAGUAAUGCAGGUGACUGGGCCCAGGGCGCUCCGAACAUUAGCGCACAAAUUCUGGAGGCUGAAGCAGUACCUAGUACUGACACUAAAGGGGGUUACUCUAGCUCUUCACUGCACCUUGACCUCCCAGCUGGUGUACAAGAGGGUUCACAAAGCUAUUCCCCUAACCUGGUCUAUGAGGAUGUUUAUCAAUACCCUGCUGCUGAAAUUGCACAGCUUCCUUCAGAAGAGAGUGACCUCUCUGACUACAACUCUGUGAAUGUGGUCCAGCCAAGCAUUUGGUCUUCUGCUCCCUACAUGACUAGAGAAGAGGAGCCGGUUUACGUCAGUAAUUCAGGUGACUGGGCCCAGGCAGCGCCGACCAUUAGCGAACAAACUCUGGAGGCUGAAGCAAUACCUAGUACUGACACUAAAGGGGGUUACUCUAGCUCUUCACUGAACCUCAACUUCCAAGCUGGUGUACAAGAAGGUUCACAAAGCUAUUCCCCUAACCAUGUCGAUGAGGCUGUUUAUCAAUACCCUGCUGCUGAAACUGCACAGCUUUAUUCAGAGGGGGUUGACGCCUCCAAGUAUGACUCUAUGAACGCAGUCCAGCCAAGCACUUGGUCCUCGGCUUCCUACAUGACCAGAGAAGAGGAGCCGGUAUUCUCCAGUCAUCCAGGUCACUGGGCCCAUGUUGCUCCUGUGGAAACCCCUGCCUAUCCAAGCGAUGUGGCUGAUUUCGGCUUGGACUCUACUUCAAGUAAACCCGCUGCACAACCAGUCCUCUUCAAGCCACUGAAGAAGGCUCCUCAGCUCCCCAGCUCCAAGUGGCUUCAGAGGCCAAAGAAGGUGAGGGACCAGACUGCAUCUACCUACAUUGUCCAAUCCAAGGGCUCACACCGCCGAAGCCGCCAGAUGUUAUCCAAGAAGAAGUACUUCAGCGGUUUCCCUCCACCACCCCCAUUCGUGACUAUGGCUCUGAGACCGUAAGGGGUAAAUGGUGACCACUUGGCCUUCAAUCAAUUGUGUAUUUUUCCCACUUGCUUAUGGAUUUCUACACUGACUAUACCUUCAGUAAUGCUUCGCACUUUCAGCAUAAAAGCUUGUUCCCUGAAAAGAAUAAACUAAAUGUAUCUAUUUAAACUUGACUUUUGUCUUU
ensembl:lncRNA